ACGCUCGACACCUACGAGAGGCAGCAGUAGGGAAUCUUCCACAAUGGGCGCAAGCCUGAUGGAGCAACACCGCGUGAGUGAAGAAGGGUUUCGGCUCGUAAAGCUCUGUUGUUGGAGAAGAACGUGCGUGAGAGUAACUGUUCACGCAGUGACGGUAUCCAACCAGAAAGUCACGGCUAACUACGUGCUAGCAGCCGCGGUAAUCUGAGCGGGCUGGCAAGGC
rnacentral:rRNA from 1 species